UCCGUAGGUGGAUAAUUAAGUCAGAGGUGAAAUCCUGCAGCUCAACUGUAGAGUUGCCUUUGAUACUGGUUAUCUUGAGUCAUUAUGAAGUGGUUAGAAUGUGUAGUGUAGCGGUGAAAUGCAUAGAUAUUACACAGAAUACCGAUUGCGAAGGCAGAUCACUAAUAAUGUACUGACACUGAGGGACGAAAGCGUGGGGAGCGAACAGGAUUAGAUACCCUGGUAGUCC
rnacentral:rRNA from 1 species